rnacentral:lncRNA from 1 species
AGAUGCUGAGGACUUGGAUGAGGACGGGCACCAAAUCUGCAUUGUCCAUUGCUAUUUCCCAGGUGCUCAGAACAUUGUCUGGCAUUAAAUAAAUAUCUUUGUUAAAUAAAUGAAAGAACAGGGAUGGUGUAAUCUCUUGGUGAAAUGUUUUGUUACUUAGUAGCUGUGUACACACAGAUGCAAGUUCCAGUCAUGCAUAUCGUAUUUCUAUACUAUUUCAAAGGUUGAGUUGCUGAAGCGGCUUCAUUGUCUGGGGACAUACCCAAGGUUCGUCAUCGCGUGACGAGAAGAUUAAGGACACAGACGCAAACACGGAGCGGGUCAAGUAGCGGAAAGUUUAAUAGGCAGGAAAGAAGAGAACAGCUCACCGGUAGAGAGCCGUCAAUGGUGUGCCAGAUAAGAAGCUAUGCACUGAAAAGAUGGAG